rnacentral:rRNA from 1 species
AGACCGCCAGCUAAGGUCCCAAAGUCAUGGUUAAGUGGGAAACGAUGUGGGAAGGCCCAGACAGCCAGGAUGUUGGCUUAGAAGCAGCCAUCAUUUAAAGAAAGCGUAAUAGCUCACUGGUCGAGUCGGCCUGCGCGGAAGAUGUAACGGGGCUAAACCAUGCACCGAAGCUGCGGCAGCGACACUAUGUGUUGUUGGGUAGGGGAGCGUUCUGUAAGCCUGUGAAGGUGGCCUGUGAGGGUUGCUGGAGGUAUCAGAAGUGCGAAUGCUGACAUAAGUAACGAUAAAGCGGGUGAAAAGCCCGCUCGCCGGAAGACCAAGGGUUCCUGUCCAACGUUAAUCGGGGCAGGGUGAGUCGACCCCUAAGGCGAGGCCGAAAGGCGUAGUCGAUGGGAAACAGGUUAAUAUUCCUGUACUUGGUGUUACUGCGAAGGGGGGACGGAGAAGGCUAUGUUGGCCGGGCGACGGUUGUCCCGGUUUAAGCGUGUAGGCUGGUUUUCCAGGCAAAUCCGGAAAACCAAGGCUGAGGCGUGAUGACGAGGCACUACGGUGCUGAAGCGACAAAUGCCCUGCUUCCAGGAAAAGCCUCUAAGCAUCAGGUAACAUCAAAUCGUACCCCAAACCGACACAGGUGGUCAGGUAGAGAAUACCAAGGCGCUUGAGAGAACUCGGGUGAAGGAACUAGGCAAAAUGGUGCCGUAACUUCGGGAGAAGGCACGCUGAUAUGUAGGUGAAGCGACUUGCUCGUGGAGCUGAAAUCAGUCGAAGAUACCAGCUGGCUGCAACUGUUUAUUAAAAACACAGCACUGUGCAAACACGAAAGUGGACGUAUACGGUGUGACGCCUGCCCGGUGCCGGAAGGUUAAUUGAUGGGGUUAGCGGUAACGCGAAGCUCUUGAUCGAAGCCCCGGUAAACGGCGGCCGUAACUAUAACGGUCCUAAGGUAGCGAAAUUCCUUGUCGGGUAAGUUCCGACCUGCACGAAUGGCGUAAUGAUGGCCAGGCUGUCUCCACCCGAGACUCAGUGAAAUUGAACUCGCUGUGAAGAUGCAGUGUACCCGCGGCAAGACGGAAAGACCCCGUGAACCUUUACUAUAGCUUGACACUGAACAUUGAGCCUUGAUGUGUAGGAUAGGUGGGAGGCUUUGAAGUGUGGACGCCAGUCUGCAUGGAGCCGACCUUGAAAUACCACCCUUUAAUGUUUGAUGUUCUAACGUUGGCCCGUAAUCCGGGUUGCGGACAGUGUCUGGUGGGUAGUUUGACUGGGGCGGUCUCCUCCUAAAGAGUAACGGAGGAGCACGAAGGUUGGCUAAUCCUGGUCGGACAUCAGGAGGUUAGUGCAAUGGCAUAAGCCAGCUUGACUGCGAGCGUGACGGCGCGAGCAGGUGCGAAAGCAGGUCAUAGUGAUCCGGUGGUUCUGAAUGGAAGGGCCAUCGCUCAACGGAUAAAAGGUACUCCGGGGAUAACAGGCUGAUACCGCCCAAGAGUUCAUAUCGACGGCGGUGUUUGGCACCUCGAUGUCGGCUCAUCACAUCCUGGGGCUGAAGUAGGUCCCAAGGGUAUGGCUGUUCGCCAUUUAAAGUGGUACGCGAGCUGGGUUUAGAACGUCGUGAGACAGUUCGGUCCCUAUCUGCCGUGGGCGCUGGAGAACUGAGGGGGGCUGCUCCUAGUACGAGAGGACCGGAGUGGACGCAUCACUGGUGUUCGGGUUGUCAUGCCAAUGGCACUGCCCGGU